ensembl:lncRNA novel transcript
AAAUCAACAAAGUGCAGACCUGAAUCACAUCAAUGCCAGCAAGGCCAAGAUUCCCUGAGUGACGUCUCAUAGCUCAUUGGAUUUUUCUUCAAGGCCUUUAUCCACCCAUAUAAGUGUGGGAUAUGGGUGAAAGAACAAGUUUGCAGAAAAGAUACAGUGAAUUAUGGACCAUGAGUUCGGGAAAGAAGGGUAGGACUGCGUCGCUGGCUGCAGUAUUCUGGAGGCUGGUCUUUGGGCUGUGAUCACUCUUCAUUCUAAAGGAGACAUUUUCAGAACAUCAGGGAUAUAUCCUGCCCUGGGAUGCUGAUGAAUGGCCGCUUUAAGACUCACUGAGACACUUUGGUGCACGGCUCAGAGUGCUCUGAAGGAGUAGUUUUAAUUCAGCAGUUUUGAUGUGGAAGCAAAAAUAUAUAAAAUGGCAUUAUA